rnacentral:rRNA from 1 species
CCUACGGGUGGCAGCAGUGAGGAAUAUUGGUCAAUGGGCUUACGCCUGAACCAGCCAAGUCGCGUGAGGGAAGACUGCCCUAUGGGUUGUAAACCUCUUUUGUCAGGGAGCAACGCCGGCUACGUGUAGCCGGACUGGGAUUCCCUGAAGAAAAAGCAUCGGCUAACUCCGUGCCAGCGGCAGCGGUAAUACGGAGGAUGCGAGCGUAAUCCGGAUUUAUUGGGUUUAAAGGGUGGGUAGGCGGCAUGCCAAGUCAGCGGUAAAAGCCCGGGGCUCAACCUGGCGCCGCCGUUGAAACUGGCGUUCUUGAGUGGGAGAGAAGUAUGCGGAAUGCGUGGUGUAGCGGUGAAAUGCAUAGAUAUCACGCAGAACUCCGAUUGCGAAGGCAGCAUACCGGCGCCCAACUGACGCUGAAGCACGAAAGCGUGGGUAUCGAACAGGAUUAGAUACCCGAGUAGUC